CUUAUCGCGUUAGCUGCGCCACUAAAGCCUCAAAGGCCCCAACGGCUAGUAGACAUCGUUUACGGCAUGGACUACCAGGGUAUCUAAUCCUGUUUGCUCCCCAUGCUUUCGUACCUCAGCGUCAGUAUUAGGCCAGAUGGCUGCCUUCGCCAUCGGUAUUCCUCCAGAUCUCUACGCAUUUCACCGCUACACCUGGAAUUCUACCAUCCUCUCCCAUACUCUAGCUCUCCAGUAUCGAAUGCAAUUCCUAAGUUAAGCUCAGGGAUUUCACAUCCGACUUAAAAAGCCGCCUACGCACGCUUUACGCCCAGUAAAUCCGAUUAACGCUCGCACCCUCUGUAUUACCGCGGCUGCUGGCACAGAGUUAGCCGGUGCUUAUUCUGCGAGUAACGUCCACUCACUUUAGGUAUUAACUAAAGGAGCCUCCUCCUCGCUUAAAGUGCUUUACAACCAAAAGGCCUUCUUCACACACGCGGCAUGGCUGGAUCAGGCUUGCGCCCAUUGUCCAAUAUUCCCCACUGCUGCCUCCCGUAGGAGUCUGGGCCGUGUCUCAGUCCCAGUGUGGCGGAUCAUCCUCUCAGACCCGCUACAGAUCGUCGCCUUGGUAGGCCUUUACCCCACCAACUAGCUAAUCCGACUUAGGCUCAUCUAUUAGCGCAAGGUCCGAAGAUCCCCUGCUUUCCCCCGUAGGACGUAUGCGGUAUUAGCAUUCCUUUCGGAAUGUUGUCCCCCACUAAUAGGCAGAUUCCUAAGCAUUACUCACCCGUCCGCCGCUAGGUCAGGUAGCAAGCUACCUUUCCCCGCUCGACUUG
rnacentral:rRNA from 1 species